ACUCCUACGGGAGGCAGCAGUGGGGAAUAUUGCACAAUGGGCGCAAGCCUGAUGCAGCCAUGCCGCGUGUGUGAAGAAGGCCUUCGGGUUGUAAAGCACUUUUCAGCAGUGAGGAAGGCGGACGUCGUUAAUAGCGGCCUCGUUUGACGUUAGCUGCAGAAGAAGCACCGGCUAACUCCGUGCCAGCAGCCGCGGUAAUACGGAGGGUGCGAGCGUUAAUCGGUAAUUACCUGGGCGUAAAGCGCAUGCAGGUGGUUUGUUAAGUCAGAUGUGAAAGCCCGGGGGCUCAACCUCGGAAUAGCAUUUGAAACUGGCAGACUAGAGUACUGUAGAGGGGGGUAGAAUUUCAGGUGUAGCGGUGAAAUGCGUAGAGAUCUGAAGGAUACGGUGCGAAGGCGGCCCCCUGGGACAGAUACCUGACACUCAAAUGCCGAAAGCGUGGGGAGCAAA
rnacentral:rRNA from 1 species